GAUGAACGCUAGCGGCAGGCCUAAUACAUGCAAGCCGGACGGCAAGUUGAGUAGCAAUACUUGACCUAGAGUGGCGUAAGGGUGCGUAACACGUAUGCAAUCUGCCCACAGCCGGGAGAUAGCCCUCCGAAAGGAGGAUUAAUAUCCCAUAGGAAGAUGAGAUGGCAUCAUUUUAUUUUAAACUACGGGGCUGUGGAUGAGCAUGCGGUUGAUUAGCUAGUUGGCGGGGUAAAGGCCCACCAAGGCGAUGAUCAAUAGGGGACCUGAGAGGGUGAUCCCCCACACUGGCACUGAGAUACGGGCCAGGACUCCUACGGGAGGCAGCAGUAGGGAAUAUUGGGACAAUGGGUGUAAGCCUGAUCAGCCAUGACCGCGUGCAGGGAAGAAGGGCCCUUCUAGGGGUUGUAAACUGC
rnacentral:rRNA from 1 species